GCACUGAGACACUGGCCAGACUCCUACGGGAGGCUGCAGUCGAGAGUAUUUUGCAAUGGGCGCAAGCCUGACAAUGCGACGCCGCGUGGGGGGAAGGCCUUCAGGUUGUAAACCCCUUUAGUGUAUUAUGAAGGGCCGGUUUGCUAAUAUCAGGCCGGUUACACGACGUAAGUACAUAAAUAAGCUCCGGCUAACUCCGUGCCAGCAGCCGCGGUAAUACGGAGGGAGCGAGCGUUAUUCGGAAUCACUGGGCAUAAAGAGCACGUAGGCGGCAGGGCAAAUCAAGAGUGAAAUCCUUCGGCUCAACCGGGGCACUGCUUUUGAAAAUUUCCUGCUAGAGGAUGAGAGGGGAGAGUGGAACUCUUGGUGGAGCGGUGAAAUGUUUAGAUAUCAAGAGGAACGCCGGUGGCGAAAGCGACUCUCUAGCUCAUUUCUGACGCUGAGGUGCGAAAGCCAGGGGAGCAAAUAGGAUUAGAUACCCUAGUAGUCCUGGCCCUAAACGAUGGGCACUAAGUAGAGGGGGCUCCGAUGUCUUCUCUGCUGAAGCUAAUGUGUUAAGUGCCCCGCCUGGGGAGUAUGGUCGCAAGGCUAAAACUCAAAGGAAUUGACGGGGGCUCGCACAAGCGGUGGAGCAGUGGCUCAAUUCGAUGCAACGCGAAGAACCUUAUCCCGGGCUUGACAUGUCAGUGGUACUGAACCGAAAGGGGAGGGACUCCGAAAGGAGAGCUGUCACAGGUGCUGCAUGGCUGUCGUCAGUUCGUGUCGUGAGAUGUUUGGUUAAGUCCUUUAACGAGCGAAACCCAUGCCCUUAGUUGCUACCAGGUAAUGCUGGGCACCCUAGGGGGACUGCCCAUGUAAAUGGGAGGAAGGUGUGGAUGACGUCAAGUCCUCAUGGCCUUUAUGCCCGGGGCUGCACACGUGCUACAAUGACCGGUACAAAGGGAUGCAAUACCGCAAGGUGGAGCCAACCCCAUAAAGCCGGCCUCAGUUCAGAUUGGAGGCUGAAAUUCGCCUUCAUGAAGUUGGAAUCGCUAGUAAUCGCGAAUCAGCAAUGUCGCGGUGAAUAUGUUCCCGAGCCUUGUACACACCGCCCGUCAAGCCACGAGAGCUGGUAGCGCCCAAAGUCGUCUACUCAAUCCUUAAUCGGGAAGAGAGAUGCCUAAGGCGAGACUAGUGAUUGGGACUAUGUCGUAACAAGGUA
rnacentral:rRNA from 1 species